rnacentral:rRNA from 1 species
AACGAACGCUGGCGGCAUGCCUAACACAUGCAAGUCGAACGAAGCCUUCGGGCUUAGUGGCGCACGGGUGCGUAACGCGUGGGAAUCUGCCCUUCGGUACGGAAUAACUCAGGGAAACUUGUGCUAAUACCGUAUGAAGUCUUCGGACCAAAGAUUUAUCGCCGAGGGAUGAGCCCGCGUAGGAUUAGGUAGUUGGUGGGGUAAAGGCCUACCAAGCCGACGAUCCUUAGCUGGUCUGAGAGGAUGAUCAGCCACACUGGGACUGAGACACGGCCCAGACUCCUACGGGAGGCAGCAGUGGGGAAUAUUGGACAAUGGGCGCAAGCCUGAUCCAGCAAUGCCGCGUGAGUGAUGAAGGCCUUAGGGUCGUAAAGCUCUUUUACCAGGGAUGAUAAUGACAGUACCUGGAGAAUAAGCUCCGGCUAACUCCGUGCCAGCAGCCGCGGUAAUACGGAGGGAGCUAGCGUUGUUCGGAAUUACUGGGCGUAAAGCGCACGUAGGCGGCUAUUCA